rnacentral:rRNA from 1 species
AUGGAGUCAGCAAUUUCAAAAAAUAAGUUCAAUAAAGGUUCAGGGCAUCAGAGACGUUAUUCCAAGUUACCAAGGAGACUAGUGGUAAUGAAGUUGAAGAGCGCCAGAGAGAUAACCAUAUUGCAGACCGUGAAGCACCCAAACCUCAUGGGGUAUUACGGUACUAAACCAGGGAAUACUUUGGUUGAUGAUGUUAACAGAGUAAAGAUUGCCGACUUUGGGGUUAGUCGCAUGCUUAGCUCGACGGCCUGCAAUACUUCAGAUCGAACAGUCUUCUACCUUAGCCCGGACAAGAUCGACCCACAAGGCAUGAAUGGGGGAAGAUACGACGUGUACGCAUCAGACAUUUGGCCAUUCAGAUUAACUGUCUUAGAGCUGUACUUGGGCAGAUAUCCCUAUGGCGACAAGAAGCAACUAGAAGGGCAGGGGGUGAUAGCUAUCGCAGAGCAUAUCCGUUAUACUAAUCUGCCUCGGCCACCAUCCGAUGCAUCUCCCAAGUUAACAUAA